rnacentral:rRNA from 1 species
GAGGGAAAGUUGCAAAGCACUUUGAAGAGAGAGUUAAAGAGGACGUGAAACCGGUAAGAUGGAAACGGAUAGAGCUAGCGUAUCUAGCUUGUAUUCAGCCGCCCUGGCUCGGGUGCCCUGUCUGCUGGUCCGGAAUCGGCCAGUUGGCGGGUGUCUCUCGGGUCUUGGUGGUGCACUUGCAAGUGGAGUGCGCUGAGGCCUGUGGGUCAGCGGUUGGAAGUGCGCUUUGAGGAUACCCUUUGGGGUAAAACCCGGGCGUGCCUAAGACUGUUUGGCCUGCUUGUACAUGAGCGAGGCCAACGGGUUUGGCUGGGGCUGAGCUGGUCGCCGGUUACGGUCGCAUGCGACACGUGCUGGUGGCUGGUUUGGUCUGGGUCUGGCUCCCUCGCUCGCCCUCGGUGUAAAAGCUAGUCAUCUAUCCGACCCGUCUUGAAACACGGACCAAGGAGUUUAGCGUAUACGCGAGUCAUUGAGUGAAAAACUCAAAGGCGCAAUGAAAGUAAAGGCAUCCCUUGUGGAGCUGAUAUGCGACCUCGGGUGCUUCGGUGCCCGGGAGCAGCAUAGCCCCGUCCCGAUCGCUUGCGAUGGGGCGGAGGUAGAGCGUGUUCGCUGAGACCCGAAAGAUGGUGAACUAUUCCUGAGCAGGAUGAAGCCAGUGGAAACACUGGUGGAAGUCCGAAGCGAUUCUGACGUGCAAAUCGAUCGUCUGACUUGGGUAUAGGGGCGAAAGACUAAUCGAACCAUCUAGUAGCUG